UGUCAAGCAAAGAUCUGCUGGGGAGACUGGUAUAAAGCCAUGCUGUUCUGAAGGAAAGAGUGGGAUGUGUCUGGGAACUCUCCUACCUACUUCCUGUCUGAAUUAUCUUCAGGAGCUUCCAGAAGCCUGAAGAGGGUCCCAUGAGGUCGCUGAUGCAAUCCUGUGGGUCCCUGUAAAAGGAGGUGGUGGGAUCAGAACUGUCUUUCGAAGCAGGCUUUGGGCUGAGAGCUCUGGACCCAUUAACUCAGGGCCUAACUCUUCCAGGCUGAAAGACUGCUGAGAAAAGAAGCAGUGACCCGUGGCUGAACACGGUGGCCAGGGCUCCAGAUGCCUGCUGCAAAGAAGCCUGGGCCCACAGGGCAUCAGGCAUGUAGGAAAGCAAGCCUGUUCCGUGUUGAAGGCUGGGGCUCUGUCCUGCAGCAGGUAUGCAGCAAGUAGCCACGGUGGUGGAAGCUUCUGCAUGGCAUAGCCCCCAUGGGACAGCAGUAAAUGCCUUCUUCACCAGCGAGAAUGCGUUUCCUCACAUGCUCCAUGAUAACCCCAGUCUCCUCU